rnacentral:sRNA from 1 species
AAAACAACGGAGGCUGCGGUGUGGUUGGUGGUGAGAUGACGACCUUAGUGCUGGAUAACGGAGCUUACAACGCCAAAAUCGGUUACAGUCAUGAAAAUGUGUCGGUUAUUCCUAAUUGUCAGUUCCGGUCAAAAACAGCACGUCUUAAAACUUUUACUGCCAACCAGAUAGAUGAAAUAAAAGACCCUUCUGGACUCUUUUACAUCCUUCCUUUUCAAAAGGGCUACUUGGUGAAUUGGGAUGUUCAAAGACAAGUUUGGGAUUACCUUUUUGGAAAAGAAAUGUAUCAGGUUGAUUUUUUAGAUACUAAUAUUAUUAUCACUGAACCAUACUUUAACUUCACUUCAAUUCAAGAAUCAAUGAAUGAAAUUCUAUUUGAAGAAUACCAGUUUCAAGCAGUAUUAAGAGUAAAUGGUGAGUUCAAGUUUUCACUGAAAUUGAGUUAUAUGACUGUGGAUAUGAAUAGGGUAAUACUCAUAAAGUCCCAAAAUAUUAAGUGGCAUUCUUGGCUAGCACAGUGACUAACACCUGUAACCCCAUCAGUUUGGG